rnacentral:misc_RNA from 1 species
GGACUUCGGUCUGCUACCUCUUACCCAUGUCUUUUGAGUACCUUCGUUUCCUCGGCGGGUCGCCCGCCGGUUGGACAACAUUCAAACCCUUUGCAGUUGCAAUCAGCGUCUGAAAAAACUUAAUAGUUACAACUUUCAACAACGGAUCUCUUGGUUCUGGCAUCGAUGAAGAACGCAGCA